UACGUAGGGUGCGAGCGUUGUCCGGAAUUAUUGGGCGUAAAGGGCUCGUAGGCGGUUUGUCGCGUCGGGAGUGAAAUCCACUGGCUUAACUGGUGGCUUGCUUUCGAUACGGGCAGACUGGAGGUAUGCAGGGGAGAACGGAAUUCCUGGUGUAGCGGUGAAAUGCGCAGAUAUCAGGAGGAACACCGGUGCCGAAGGCGGUUCUCUGGGCCUGUACUGACGCUGAGGAACGAAAGCGUGGGGAGCGAACAGG
rnacentral:rRNA from 1 species